AAAGGCCCCACCUCCAGACACCAUCACAUUGAAGAUUAGGGCUUCAACGUGUAUGUUUGGUGUGGGGGUGGGGGGCAAGAUACAGACGUUUAGUCCAUAGCACUGUAUGUCUUAAAAUUAUUGUUUAAGGCACCGUUCACCUCUGGAAAAGGAUUCUUUACCUGGAAGUUCAUCAACAAGCUUGUUGAUAAAAAAGCAAAGAGAGACUUCAGACACGCCGAUCAUGAGAGCUUUAAAAGAACUUGAUGAGGGAAAAAUAUUUAAAAAUUGGGGGACACAGACAGAGAAAGAGGACACCUCAAAUAUAAAUCCUCGGCAAACUGAAACUUCAGUUAAUGCAAGUCGUUCUCCAGAAAAGUGUGCCCAACAGAGACAAAAGAGACUUAAUUCGGCCUCACAGAGAUCAUCAUCUUUACCACCUUCAAAUCGUAAAUCAAGUACUCCAACAAAAAGAGAGAUUAUGCUAACACCAGUGACUGUGGCUUAUAGUCCAAAGC
rnacentral:sRNA from 1 species